rnacentral:rRNA from 1 species
UACAGAGGGUGCGAGCGUUAAUCGGAAUUACUGGGCGUAAAGCGUGCGUAGGCGGUCGGGUAAGUCUGAUGUGAAAUCUCACAGCUUAACUGUGAAACUGCAUUGGAUACUAUCCGGCUCGAGGAAUGGAGGGGAGACUGGAAUACUUGGUGUAGCAGUGAAAUGCGUAGAUAUCAAGUGGAACACCAGUGGCGAAGGCGAGUCUCUGGACAUUUCCUGACGCUGAGGCACGAAAGCCAGGGGAGCAAACGGG